UACAGAGGUCCCAAGCGUUGUUCGGAUUCACUGGGCGUAAAGGGUGCGUAGGUGGUGAGGUAAGUCGGAUGUGAAAUCUCCGAGCUCAACUCGGAAAUGGCAUUGGAAACUACCUUGCUCGAGGGUUGGAGGGGGGACUGGAAUGCUUGGUGUAGCAGUGAAAUGCGUAGAUAUUGGGAAGAACACCAGUGGCGAAGGCGGCUCUCUGGACCGUAACUGACGCUGAGGCGCGAAAGCGUGGGGAGCAAACAGG
rnacentral:rRNA from 1 species